GAGAGUUAAGAGCAUCCCCAGC
rnacentral:siRNA from 1 species